UGUAGCUUGACAUUGGGUCUUGGUACUACAUGUACAGGAUAGGUGGGAGGCUUUGAAACCAGGACGCCAGUUUUGGCGGAGCCAUCCUUGGGAUACCACCCUUGUAGUACUGGGACUCUAACCAUAGACCAUGAAUCUGGUCUUGGGACACUGUCAGGUGGGCAGUUUGACUGGGGCGGUCGCCUCCCAAAAGGUAACGGAGGCGCUCAAAGGUUCUCUCAGUACGGUCGGAAAGCGUACGUAGAGUGUAAAGGC
rnacentral:rRNA from 1 species